rnacentral:rRNA from 1 species
GUCUGGAAAGGCCCGCCAGAGAAGGUAAAAGCCCUGUAGUUCAAAACCCGUUCCCUCCGAGACGGAUCCCGAGUAGUGCGGGGCACGUGAAACCCCGUAUGAAUCCGGCAGGACCAUCUGCCAAGGCUAAAUACUCCCUGGCGACCGAUAGUGAAGCAGUACCGUGAGGGAAAGGUGAAAAGCACCCCGGAAGGGGAGUGAAAUAGAUCCUGAAACCGUGUGCUUACAAGAAGUCAGAGCCCAAUUUAGGGGUGAUGGCGUGCCUUUUGUAGAAUGAACCGGCGAGUUACGUUCCCGUGCAAGGUUAAGGUGAAGAGCUGAAGCCGCAGCGAAAGCGAGUCUGAAUAGGGCGAAUGAGUACGUGGACGUAGACCCGAAACCGGGUGAUCUACCCCUGUCCAGGGUGAAGGUGCGGUAACACGCACUGGAGGCCCGAACCCACGCAUGUUGAAAAAUGCGGGGAUGAGGUGGGGGUAGCGGAGAAAUUCCAAUCGAACCCGGAGAUAGCUGGUUCUCCCCGAAAUAGCUUUAGGGCUAGCCUCGGAAAACAGAGUCGUGGAGGUAGAGCACUGAUUGGGUGCGGGGUCCGCAAGGGUUACCAAGCUCAGUCAAACUCCGAAUGCCAUAGACUUACUUCCGGGAGUCAGACAGUGAGUGCUAAGAUCCAUUGUCAAAAGGGAAACAGCCCAGACCAUCAGCUAAGGUCCCCAAGUGUGUGUUAAGUGGGAAAGGAUGUGGAGUUGCACAGACAACCAGGAUGUUGGCUUAGAAGCAGCCACCAUUGAAAGAGUGCGUAAUAGCUCACUGGUCGAGUGACUCUGCGCCGAAAAUGUAACGGGGCUAAACACACCACCGAAGCUAUGGCUUGAUGCUUGCAUCAGGGGUAGGGGAGCGUUGAAUGCGGGUUGAAGGUGUACCGGAAGGAGCGCUGGACUGCAUUCAAGUGAGAAUGCCGGUAUGAGUAACGAAAAGAUCUGUGAGAAUCAGAUCCGCCGAAAGCCUAAGGGUUCCUGAGGAAGGUUCGUCCGCUCAGGGUAAGUCGGGACCUAAGGCGAGGCCGAUAGGCGUAGUCGAAGGACAACAGGUCGAAAUUCCUGUACCACCGUAAUCCGUUAUGAGCGAUGGGGUGACGCAGUAGGGUAGUGAUGCGGACUGAUGGAUGUCCGUCCAAGCAGUGAGGCUGGUGUGUAGGCAAAUCCGCACAGCGUAAGGCUGGGCUGUGAUGGGGAGCGAAAAUUGCAGGAGCGAAGGUCAUGAUCUCAGACUGCCAAGAAAAGCCUCUAGCCAGGAGAAGGUGCCCGUACCGCAAACCGACACAGGUAGGCGAGAAGAGAAUUCUAAGGCGCGCGGAAGAACUCUCGUUAAGGAACUCGGCAAAAUGACCCCGUAACUUCGGGAGAAGGGGUGCCUCGGUAGGGUGAAUAGCCCGAGGGGGCCGCAGUGAAAAGGCCCAAGCGACUGUUUAGCAAAAACACAGGUCUGUGCGAAGCCGCAAGGCGAAGUAUACGGGCUGACGCCUGCCCGGUGCUGGAAGGUUAAGGGGAGUGGUAAGCUCUUUAAGAGCGAAGCUAUGAACCGAAGCCCCAGUAAACGGCGGCCGUAACUAUAACGGUCCUAAGGUAGCGAAAUUCCUUGUCAGGUAAAUUCUGACCCGCACGAAUGGCGUAACGACUUGGGCGCUGUCUCAACGAGAGAUCCGGUGAAAUUUUAAU